GACGAACGCUGGCGGCGUGCCUAAUACAUGCAAGUCGAACGCAGUGGGGACGGGUGAGUAACACGUGGGUAACCUCCCAUCAGAGGGGAUAACACUUGGAAACAGGUGCUAAACCGAUACUGAUGGAUGGACCCGCGGUGCAUUAGCUAGUUGGUGAGGUAACGGCCCACCAAGGCCACGAUGGAUAGCGGACCUGAGGGGGUGAUGGGCCACACGGGAAGUGAGACACGGCCCAGACUCCUACGGGAGCAAGAAGUGGGGAAUCUUCGGCAAUGGACGAAAUUCUGACCGAGAAACGCCGCGUGAGUGAGGAAGGUUUUCGGAUCGUAAGACUCUGUUGUUAGGGAAGCGGUAUCUAACCAGAAAGCCACGGCUAACUACGUGCCAGCAGCCGCGGUAAUUC
rnacentral:rRNA from 1 species